rnacentral:rRNA from 1 species
ACAUUAUGCCUGGAAUGGUUUAUGUUUCAAAUAAUUUAUUGCCGUAGGAUGGGACUGCGGCCUAUCAGUUUGUUGGUGAGGUAAUGGCCCACCAAGACUAUUACAGGUACGGGCUCUGAGAGGAGUAGCCCGGAGAUGGGUACUGAGACACGGACCCAGGCCCUAUGGGGCGCAGCAGGCGAGAAAACUUUGCAAUGUGCGAAAGCACGACAAGGUUAAUCCGAGUGGUUUCUGCUAAAGGAACCUUUUGUCAGUCCUAGAAACACUGAUGAAUAAGGGGUGGGCAAGUUCUGGUGUCAGCCGCCGCGGUAAAACCAGCACCUCAAGUGGUCAGGAUGAUUAUUGGGCCUAAAGCAUCCGUAGCCUGCUUUGUAAGUUUUCGGUUAAAUCCAUACGCUCAACGUAUGGGCUGCCGGGAAUACUGCAAAGCUAGGGAGUGGGAGAGGUAGACGGUACUCGGUAGGAAGGGGUAAAAUCCUUUGAUCUAUUGAUGACCACCUGUGGCGAAGGCGGUCUACCAGAACACGUCCGACGGUGAGGGAUGAAAGCUGGGGGAGCAAACCGGAUUAGAUACCCGGGUAGUCCCAGCUGUAAACUAUGCAAACUCAGUGAUGCAUUGGCUUGAUGCCAAUGCAGUGCUGCAGGGAAGCCGUUAAGUUUGCCGCCUGGGAAGUACGUACGCAAGUAUGAAACUUAAAGG